UCUCGUUUAGAUUGAAGGAGCUUGCUCCUGAUUGAUAAACAUUUGAGUGAGUGGCGGACGGGUGAGUAACACGUGGGUAACCUGCCCUAAAGUGGGGGAUAACAUUUGGAAACAGAUGCUAAUACCGCAUAAAACCUAACACCGCAUGGUGUAGGGUUGAAAGAUGGUUUCGGCUAUCACUUUAGGAUGGACCCGCGGUGCAUUAGUUAGUUGGUGAGGUAAAGGCUCACCAAGACCGUGAUGCAUAGCCGACCUGAGAGGGUAAUCGGCCACACUGGGACUGAGACACGGCCCAGACUCCUACGGGAGGCAGCAGUAGGGAAUCUUCCACAAUGGACGAAAGUCUGAUGGAGCAACGCCGCGUGAGUGAAGAAGGUUUUCGGAUCGUAAAACUCUGUUGUUGGAGAAGAAUGUAUCUGAUAGUAACUGAUCAGGUAGUGACGGUAUCCAACCAGAAAGCCACGGCUAACUACGUGCCAGCAGCCGCGGUAAUACGUAGGUGGCAAGCGUUGUCCGGAUUUAUUGGGCGUAAAGCGAGCGCAGGCGGUUUCUUAAGUCUGAUGUGAAAGCCUUCGGCUCAACCGAAGAAGUGCAUCGGAAACUGGGAAACUUGAGUGCAGAAGAGGACAGUGGAACUCCAUGUGUAGCGGUGAAAUGCGUAGAUAUAUGGAAGAACACCAGUGGCGAAGGCGGCUGUCUGGUCUGUAACUGACGCUGAGGCUCGAAAGCAUG
rnacentral:rRNA from 1 species